AACCUCCAGGUUCUGUAUCUGUUUUCUCCCCGAAGAGGGAGGGCUCCUGUCAUCUUCAGUCAUACCCACGCAGGAGCGAAGGCCGGCUACCGCUCUUUCAAACCGGCCUGCAUCGCUAGGCUUUGUGACCACGCGUGGCCCCCAAAUCCUGCCUCACUCCAGGAGAAGGCCCUCAGUCUGCGUAACAAUUUUCCACCCAACUCUGAGAAAGCGAAGGAAGUGUUAGAAGAACUGGCUGAGCCACUUCCGAAUGAAAAGGCGGAACCAGCGACGUUCUUGCCCUUUAUUGGCCACACGUUCAGGAAGCUGGGCCGUAAAGACUUCCGUUAACUUGACGUAGGGGGCGGUGUUGGUGAGACGCGUCCCGUGGGCUGAGCUACGCAUGCGCAUCCUCCCUACCCUCGUCCAAUCGGAAGGUUGCAAGCAAGACCGCACCGCUCCCGCCUUGGCGUCCGCAGGCCCGCCUCUUUGCUACGGACCAAUCCGCUCCAGCUUCCUCUCUAACGUUAUCCAAUCAGAGGCGGAGGGCGGAGUUCCGGCCGGCCGCGGGCAGAGCGUGGUUUUUCUUCCCACUCCAGUGUGGGUUGUACGGCUGAGCCACACCCUAUUUAUGUGGGCACCUCAAUCGGGACAGUUCUUCAGGUGAGGAUCCUGCUCAGGUGAUUCUGAUUUGGGCCAAGCUGACUUGAAAACCAAGCACAAUAAAGCCCCAGGAAUGGAAAUAGGAAGUUUUUCCCCCCAGCAGGCAGCAUGUCCCUGGUACCUGAAGAGGCUGAGAAGAGGGCACUGGACCCCUGGAACUGGAGUUACAAACGAUUGAGAGCUGCCAUGCUAGGAAUUGAACCUGGGUCCUCUGCAAGAGCAGCUGGUGCUUUUAACUCCUGAGCCAUCUCUCCAGCCCCCAAAUUUAAUUUUUAUUAAUACAAUUUAGUCCAAUUUCCUCUGCUUUAUGUCUUAAUAUUGUUUGUUCAAGUCCAAAGCUGUAGGGACAAUAGGAGAGCUUGCUCUCUGGAAGAGACUGUAGCCACUCUGGGUUUUCAUGAUCCUGUCUCUGUCCAUAUCCCCACUGGUCCGGAAGGCUCCAGCCAGCCUAUGUGCAGCAACCUGGUCAGCAAGGGCUCUUCCAUUCAGUGUGAUGCUGGCUUUGCUUCCACUGGCCUCCUCCAGCGUCUACAUUGCCUCUUGCUAGAGCUGGAGAGAAGUGAAAUGCUGGCCAGCCCCUUCAGUGGACUCUUUUGGCGCUAUCACCUAGACUCUGUGUGUUCCCAAGCUUUUCCGUUCUUCCUGGUUUCAUCCUCCUGAUGACAUCACAGCACCGGAGCUUUAGUCUGAAUGUGUCUCAGGCAUGGUGUCAUCGUUUUGGCAACACUCAUGCCACUGAAUGCCUCUUUGCCAUCUGUGCUACUUCCUGCCUGCUGGAACGAGAACUACAACCAUCCAAACUAUAUUCGGCAACAGGGUCUUGUGUUCGCGGGCUCAGCCAUUUAUUGAGCGCCUAUUAUAUGCUGGCCACCGCUUUAUUCACUGGAGCGUGGGUCCUUCUAGCUGUGUUCCCGUGACCCUGAUAUUGGGAGGAGGGGUUGUUAAAUGUGACGAACAGCUUGUUAACUGAGACUGGGAGGAAAUGGAAGCGUCUGCAGCUGCCAACGGUGUAAUUGAUGCAUCUUAAGUAAGAAGUUUAAACAUAUUUUAAUGGUUAUAAAUGAGCAUGACUGCUACUUUCAAUUUAAUUAGACGAGGAGGCAAUGUGUAGCCUGUUAACAUAUUGCAGGAGAGUCCAUGGGGAUGGGGCUAUUUGUCGGAAAGUGAACAUAAUUUCUCCAGAAAGCUAAAAAUAGAAUCACCACAUGAUUUGACAAUCCCAUAUUUGAGCAUCUAUCCAAAGGAAUCAGAAGCAAGAUCCUGAGGAGAUACUUACGCACGCGUGUUUGUGAUAGCAUGUUUUAUAGCUGCUAAGAGCUGGACGUGACCCAGUUGUCCGAGGAAAGGUGGAUGAAGAAACCAAAUGGAAUCUGUACAUACAGAUGAAUUAUUAUUUUGCAUUAAAAAAGAAGGAAAUUGAAGUAUACAGGUAGUCCAGCUACUUGAGACUAAAGCAGAAGAAUUGCUUGGAUCCCGGAGUUAAGAGCAAUAUCUUGGCUAUGUAGUGAGAUCCUGUAUCCAAAACAAGAUAAACACACAAAGAGGAAGUCCUGCCUUUCAGUACAAUAUGGAUAAAACUUGAGGCACACUGAAUGAAAACGUCUGGCAAGAAGACAAUAUUGUGUGAUUCCAUUCACAGUCAAUAUCAUGGAACCAAAUAGAAUGCUGGUUUUCAGGGUGGGGCUGGAGCAGGUCCAGAAAGUUCUGUUUAAUGGGUCUGGAGUUUCAGGUUUGUAAGAUGAAGUUGAUCUGCUUUACAACGUAAUUAAAAUAAAAAUGGCAAAGGGUCCAAUGUUUAGGAGGUAGAAGCAGGAAGAUUAGAAGUUCAAGACCCAAAAAAAAAAAAAAAAAAAAAGAAGUUCAAGACCCACUGCAGCUCACUAGCAAGUGAAGGCCAGCUUGGGAUAUGUGAGCUGCUUAAAAGAAAAAGGUUAACGUGUUCAAUUUUAUAUGCAUUUUAAAAUCUUAUUUAUUAGCUGGGUGGUGGUGGCGCAUGCCUGUGAUUCUAGCACUUGGGAGGCAGAGGCAGGUGGAUCUCUGUGAGUUUGCAGCCAGCCUGGUAUACAGAGUAAGCUCCAGGACAGCCAAGGCUACCCGGAGAAACCCUGUCUUAAAACAAACAAACAAACAAACAAACAAAAAUAUAUUUAUUUACAGUUCUGGGGACUGAACCCAGGGUUCUGUGCAUGCUAGGUAAGUGCUCUAUCACUGAGUUAUGUUCAUAGCUCUAUUUUUCCAACUAUGACUAAAAAUAAAAAUAUUUUUUGUAGAAUUUUAAAAAUAGAAUUAAAAAAAUAUUUGUAAAAAUAGAUUAUGCUAGAGGGCUGAGUUCGUAGCUCAGUUGGAAGAGUACUUGCCUAGCACGCACAAAGCUCUGGGUUUGGCCCCAGCAUGGACAAACUGGUCAUGGUGGUACAUACCUGUAAUGGCAGGACUUAAAAGGAGAGGCCGCAAGGUCAGAAGUGUAAGGUCGUCUUUGGCUACGUCUUAUAACGGCAGCCUCAGAUACAUUAGACCUCUCUCCAAAACAAACGAACAAACAUGGAAACUAAUGUGCUUAUUCCAGAAAGAGCGGUGAAUGGGGUCAACUAGAAGUUCAAGCAGCCAACCUGACAAUUUCUAGUUGUGUAGUCUUCGUUUGAUCUCUAAGCCUCUGACUCUUGUCCUGACACAGACAACAUCAUGAACAAAGAUGACUAGGAAAAAAUAUCAAUAAAGAAAGCUUAAGUGCUGGGUGCAGAGGCUUGUAAUCCCAGCACUCAGGGAGGCAGAGGCGCGCAGAUCUCUGUGAGUUCGAGGCCAGCCUGGUCUGCAAUGCAUGUCCAGGACAGCCAAGGCCACGCAGAAAAAAAACUCUGUCUUGGGAGAAAAAGAAAAAAAAAAAAAAAGAAAGAAAGAAAGAAAAGAAAAAAAGCAAGCUUAUGGUAUGCAGGAGGAUACUAGCCCAUUUUGCAUGGGGAUUCUGAUAUAUGAUUCAGGGCAGACAUCAGCAGCAGACUGAGGCUAUGGGAUUUCAUAUAGUAAGGAGUUCAAAAUAUGAGUACAUUAGUUAAAUGUACAUUCAGACCAAAAUCAUUUGUGGCACUAGGGCAAUUACAGUAAAAUCCCGGUGGGUUAUUGAAGUGAACUCCAUAAAACGAUACUGAAAUUCAGCUAAAUGGAUCAUCAAGUGAGAAGAAGAAGAAGAGGAGGAGGAGGAGGAGGAGGAGGAAGAAGAGGAAAAGAAGAAGAAGAAGAAGGUUGAAAAGUGUGGAAUGAAGGAUUUACUUUGUCAAUGAAUGGCAGGCAGUGUGACAACCGAUUAUAAAAUAUCAUUUCAGAUUCCUUAGCACACAACGUAUUUCAAAAUUAACUCAAUAUAGAUUAGAAUUUAAGAAAAAACCCAAUAAAAUAAAAUUAGAAAAUAAUAUAGCUGUAUGUCUACUUUCUGUGUGUGUAAACUUUAGUUUUUUAAAAAAAUUAUAGAGUAAUAGAGUCUCAGGGCUGGAAAGAGGGCUCAGUGCUUAAGAAUAAGUAUUGCUCUUGCAGAGGGAUCUGAGUUCUCU